CAACUACUACUACUAGUACUGACGUUACAACUACUACUACUAGUACUGUCCCGACAACUACUACUACUAGUUCUGUCCCUCCAUAUAUUACUACUAGUACUGUCCCUACAACUGCUAUUACUAGUACUGUCCCUCCUACUACUUCUACUUGUACUGUCCCUACAAAUACUACUACUUGUACAGUCUCUCCAACUACUACUCGUUCUGUCCCUCCAAAUAUUACUACUAGUACUGUCCCUACAACUACUAUUACUAGUACUGUCCCUCUAACUACUACCAGUGCUGCUGCUCCAACUACUACCACUACUCUUACAAUUACAACAACUACUGCCCCUCCAACUAUUACUACUACCACUGCACUUCCCAGCACCUCUUCCACCACAAUCCCUCCAUUGGCCUGUAUCAAUGGUGGUGAACUGCAGAGUGGAGUCUGUAUCUGUCCUGAUGAAUGGGCUGGGACGACCUGUUCAAAGGGGAAUAUUUGCAAUUCCACCAUUAUUUCUGGAUUCUCCUUCCCGAGAACGGUGAUUGACCGGCUUGGUUAUUCAGCAGAGUUGUGUGCUGGGAAUACAACCAAUGGGGGUUUAUCAAUAGCUUUUGCAAGAUGUUUGAAUUACACUGGAUCUCCAAGGUUUGGUCCUACUCAAGUUCUAAACUGUGCUUUGACCCUUAGUGACAUUCAAAGAAGUAUCUCUAACGGCUCAGGUGAUUUACUGAAUUUAGCAAUCAGUACUCAGAUUCUGACCUCCAAACCGGACAAUCUAUGCCCUGAAAACAUAUCCACAGCAGCAAAUAUCACCAUAAGUCUGCUUCAGUCAAAUAUCU